rnacentral:tRNA from 1 species
GGUUUUAUAAUUUAAUCAAAAAUAUUAAAUUGCAAAUUUAAAAAUACAUAUAAUUGUUAAAACUU